rnacentral:lncRNA from 1 species
UCUGCGAUUCGCUUUUGUCAUACUUAUGCAAGGAUAUCGGGGUGGAGAUAUGGUGUGGGCUAUAUUAUUUUUCGUUGCCUUAUUAUCCAGAAAAGGCAUUAGUUAACCUAAAGUUAGUCCCUCCGUCUGUCGGGGUCGUCCUCGGUCAGGCUCGGCAGACGGAUCAUGAUCGUUACAAUGUCAAGAGAAAUCUGACUUACAAUUCUUUGUUCCUUA